rnacentral:rRNA from 1 species
AUUGAACGCUGGCGGCAUGCCUUACACAUGCAAGUCGAACGGCAGCACGGGGCAACCUGGUGGCGAGUGGCGAACGGGUGAGUAAUGCAUCGGAACGUGCCAUUGAGUGGGGGAUAACGUAGCGAAAGUUGCGCUAGUACCGCAUAUUCUGUGAGCAGGAAAGCAGGGGACCGCAAGGCCUUGCGCUCUUUGAGCGGCCGAUGUCAGAUUAGCUAGUUGGUGAGGUAACGGCUUACCAAGGCGACGAUCUGUAGCGGGUCUGAGAGGAUGAUCCGCCACACUGGAACUGAGACACGGUCCAGACUCCUACGGGAGGCAGCAGUGGGGAAUUUUGGACAAUGGGCGCAAGCCUGAUCCAGCCAUGCCGCGUGAGUGAAGAAGGCCUUCGGGUUGGUAAAG